rnacentral:snRNA from 1 species
UUACCAACAGGGUAGGGGAGAUACCAUAAUCACAAAGGUGGAUUUCCCAAGGCAAGGCUUAUCCAUUGCACUCUGGAUGUGCUGACUCCUGUGAUUUUUCCAAAUGAGGGAAACUCAACAGCAUAAUUUGUGGUCGUGGAGAACUGUGAUUGUGUUCUCCC